UUUCAUGCUGAUCAAAUGUGACCAGUUUUAGCGCAAACCCCUAAUUAGCUUAUAACGCUAGUCAUCAGGGCACUGGUUAAGUAAACAUCAAUUGCUAUUUGUAUACCAUGAACAAGGCUCAAAAUAUCACCACACUUCCAUGGUAGCAUAUUGAAGAUCCCUUCAUGUAAACUAAAACAUUGAGAACUUUGUAAGUGUACAGACAGUUUAUUAAAAAUACAGUUUAUAAAGACUGUACAUAAUGUUUUCA